CGAGGGGAGUGAAAAAGAACCUGAAACCGUGUACGUACAAGCAGUGGGAGCCCCACCACCAAAGCAUUUGCUGUACCGCGUUGACGGAGCGAAGCGACGUCAAACCGAUAAAACAGCAGUGUAAAGUGAGCCGCAGGGCGCUUUGCGCGACAGCGCAAAGGCAGGCGGUUUCGCGUAGCGAAAGCGAAUGCUUUGGGGUGGGGUGACUGCGUACCUUUUGUAUAAUGGGUCAGCGACUUAUAUUCUGUAGCAAGGUUAACCGAAUAGGGGAGCCGGAGGGAAACCGAGUCUUAAUUGGGCGUUAAGUUGCAGGGUAUAGACCCGAAACCCGGUGAUCUAGCCAUGGGCAGGUUGAAGGUUGGGUAACACUAACUGGAGGACCGAACCGACUAAUGUUGAAAAAUUAGCGGAUGACCUGUGGCUGGGGGUGAAAGGCCAAUCAAACCGGGAGAUAGCUGGUUCUCCCCGAAAGCUAUUUAGGUAGCGCCUCGUGAAUUCAUCUCCGGGGGUAGAGCACUGUUUCGGCUAGGGGGCCAUCCCGGCUUACCAACCCGAUGCAAACUGCGAAUACCGGAGAAUGUUAUCACGGGAGACACACGGCGGGUGCUAACGUCCGUCGUGAAGAGGGAAACAACCCAGACCGCCAGCUAAGGUCCCAAAGUCAUGGUUAAGUGGGAAACGAUGUGGGAAGGCCCAGACAGCCAGGAUGUUGGCUUAGAAGCAGCCAUCAUUUAAAGAAAGCGUAAUAGCUCACUGGUCGAGUCGGCCUGCGCGGAAGAUGUAACGGGGCUAAACCAUGCACCGAAGCUGCGGCAGCGACACUGUGUGUUGUUGGGUAGGGGAGCGUUCUGUAAGCCUGCGAAGGUGGCCUGUGAGGGUUGCUGGAGGUAUCAGAAGUGCGAAUGCUGACAUAAGUAACGAUAAAGCGGGUGAAAAGCCCGCUCGCCGGAAGACCAAGGGUUCCUGUCCAACGUUAAUCGGGGCAGGGUGAGUCGACCCCUAAGGCGAGGCCGAAAGGCGUAGUCGAUGGGAAACGGGUUAAUAUUCCCGUACUUGGUGUUACUGCGAAGGGGGGACGGAGAAGGCUAUGUUGGCCGGGCGACGGUUGUCCCGGUUUAAGCGUGUAGGUGUGUGUUCCAGGUAAAUCCGGUUCACUUUAACACUGAGGCGUGACGACGAGGCACUACGGUGCUGAAGCAACAAAUGCCCUGCUUCCAGGAAAAGCCUCUAAGCAUCAGGUAACAUCAAAUCGUACCCCAAACCGACACAGGUGGUCAGGUAGAGAAUACCAAGGCGCUUGAGAGAACUCGGGUGAAGGAACUAGGCAAAAUGGUGCCGUAACUUCGGGAGAAGGCACGCUGACACGUAGGUGAAGUGAUUUACUCAUGGAGCUGAAGUCAGUCGAAGAUACCAGCUGGCUGCAACUGUUUAUUAAAAACACAGCACUGUGCAAACACGAAAGUGGACGUAUACGGUGUGACGCCUGCCCGGUGCCGGAAGGUUAAUUGAUGGGGUCAGCGCAAGCGAAGCUCCUGAUCGAAGCCCCGGUAAACGGCGGCCGUAACUAUAACGGUCCUAAGGUAGCGAAAUUCCUUGUCGGGUAAGUUCCGACCUGCACGAAUGGCGUAAUGAUGGCCAGGCUGUCUCCACCCGAGACUCAGUGAAAUUGAACUCGCUGUGAAGAUGCAGUGUACCCGCGGCAAGACGGAAAGACCCCGUGAACCUUUACUAUAGCUUGACACUGAACAUUGAGCCUUGAUGUGUAGGAUAGGUGGGAGGCUUUGAAGUGUGGACGCCAGUCUGCAUGGAGCCGACCUUGAAAUACCACCCUUUAAUGUUUGAUGUUCUAACGUGGACCCGUUACCCGGGUUGCGGACAGUGUCUGGUGGGUAGUUUGACUGGGGCGGUCUCCUCCUAAAGAGUAACGGAGGAGCACGAAGGUUGGCUAAUCCUGGUCGGACAUCAGGAGGUUAGUGCAAUGGCAUAAGCCAGCUUGACUGCGAGCGUGACGGCGCGAGCAGGUGCGAAAGCAGGUCAUAGUGAUCCGGUGGUUCUGAAUGGAAGGGCCAUCGCUCAACGGAUAAAAGGUACUCCGGGGAUAACAGGCUGAUACCGCCCAAGAGUUCAUAUCGACGGCGGUGUUUGGCACCUCGAUGUCGGCUCAUCACAUCCUGGGGCUGAAGUAGGUCCCAAGGGUAUGGCUGUUCGCCAUUUAAAGUGGUACGCGAGCUGGGUUUAGAACGUCGUGAGACAGUUCGGUCCCUAUCUGCCGUGGGCGCUGGAGAACUGAGGGGGGCUGCUCCUAGUACGAGAGGACCGGAGUGGACGCAUCACUGGUGUUCGGGUUGUCAUGCCAAUGGCACUGCCCGGUAGCUAAAUGCGGAAGAGAUAAGUGCUGAAAGCAUCUAAGCACGAAACUUGCCCCGAG
rnacentral:rRNA from 2 species